rnacentral:rRNA from 1 species
UACGUAGGGUGCGAGCGUUAAUCGGAAUCACUGGGCUUACAGAGUUCGUAGACGGUUAUCUAAGUCGGAUGUGAAAGCCCCGGGCUCAACCUGGGAAUUGCAUUCGAGACUGAAUAGCUAGGGUGCGGUAGAGGGAAGCGGAAUUUCCGGUGUAGCGGUGAAAUGCGUAGAUAUCGGAAGGAACAUCAGUGGCGAAAGCGGCUUCCUGGACCAGCACCGACGUUCAGGCACGAAAGCGUGGGGAGCAAACAGG